rnacentral:rRNA from 1 species
AGAGACAGCAGCAGCCGCGGUAAUACGUAGGUGGCGAGCGUUGUCCGGAAUUAUUGGGCGUAAAGGGAGCGCAGGCGGACAUAUAAGUCCAUCUUAAAGGUGCGGGGCUCAACCCCGUGAGGGGAUGGAAACUGUAUGCCUUGAGUGCAGGAGAGGAAAGCGGAAUUCCCAGUGUAGCGGAGAAAUGCGUAGAUAUUGGGAGGAACACCAGUGGCGAAGGCGGCUUUCUGGACUGCAACUGACGCUGAGGCUCGAAAGCCAGGGGAGCGAACGGGAUUAGAUACCCCCGUAGUCCCUGUCUCUUAUACA